rnacentral:rRNA from 1 species
AAAUUGAAGAGUUUGAUCAUGGCUCAGAUUGAACGCUGGCGGCAGGCCUAACACAUGCAAGUCGAGCGGUAGCACAGAGAGCUUGCUCUCGGGUGACGAGCGGCGGACGGGUGAGUAAUGUCUGGGAAACUGCCUGAUGGAGGGGGAUAACUACUGGAAACGGUAGCUAAUACCGCAUAAUGUCGCAAGACCAAAGUGGGGGACCUUCGGGCCUCAUGCCAUCAGAUGUGCCCAGAUGGGAUUAGCUAGUAGGUGGGGUAACGGCUCACCUAGGCGACGAUCCCUAGCUGGUCUGAGAGGAUGACCAGCCACACUGGAACUGAGACACGGUCCAGACUCCUACGGGAGGCAGCAGUGGGGAAUAUUGCACAAUGGGCGCAAGCCUGAUGCAGCCAUGCCGCGUGUGUGUGAAGAAGGCCUUCGGGUUGUAAAGCACUUUCAGCGGGGAGGAAGGCGAUAAGGUUAAUAACCUUGUCGAUUGACGUUACCCGCAGAAGAAGCACCGGCUAACUCCGUGCCAGCAGCCGCGGUAAUACGGAGGGUGCAAGCGUUAAUCGGAAUUACUGGGCGUAAAGCGCACGCAGGCGGUCUGUCAAGUCGGAUGUGAAAUCCCCGGGCUCAACCUGGGAACUGCAUUCGAAACUGGCAGGCUAGAGUCUUGUAGAGGGGGGUAGAAUUCCAGGUGUAGCGGUGAAAUGCGUAGAGAUCUGGAGGAAUACCGGUGGCGAAGGCGGCCCCCUGGACAAAGACUGACGCUCAGGUGCGAAAGCGUGGGGAGCAAACAGGAUUAGAUACCCUGGUAGUCCACGCCGUAAACGAUGUCGAUUUGGAGGUUGUGCCCUUGAGGCGUGGCUUCCGGAGCUAACGCGUUAAAUCGACCGCCUGGGGAGUACGGCCGCAAGGUUAAAACUCAAAUGAAUUGACGGGGGGCCCGCACAAGCGGUGGAGCAUGUGGUUUAAUUCGAUGCAACGCGAAGAACCUUACCUGGUCUUGACAUCCACAGAACUUUCCAGAGAUGGAUUGGUGCCUUCGGGAACUGUGAGACAGGUGCUGCAUGGCUGUCGUCAGCUCGUGUUGUGAAAUGUUGGGUUAAGUCCCGCAACGAGCGCAACCCUUAUCCUUUGUUGCCAGCGGUCCGGCCGGGAACUCAAAGGAGACUGCCAGUGAUAAACUGGAGGAAGGUGGGGAUGACGUCAAGUCAUCAUGGCCCUUACGACCAGGGCUACACACGUGCUACAAUGGCAUAUACAAAGAGAAGCGACCUCGCGAGAGCAAGCGGACCUCAUAAAGUAUGUCGUAGUCCGGAUUGGAGUCUGCAACUCGACUCCAUGAAGUCGGAAUCGCUAGUAAUCGUAGAUCAGAAUGCUACGGUGAAUACGUUCCCGGGCCUUGUACACACCGCCCGUCACACCAUGGGAGUGGGUUGCAAAAGAAGUAGGUAGCUUAACCUUCGGGAGGGCGCUUACCACUUUGUGAUUCAUGACUGGGGUGAAGUCGUAACAAGGUAACCGUAGGGGAACCUGCGGUUGGAUCACCUCCUUACCUUAAAGAA